UAAAUAGGAUAACGUUCAGGUGCUCGCAAGAGCUUAAAAGGGAAGCCGGUGUAAGUCCGGCACGGUCCCGCCACUGUAAUUUGGGUAGCAUCCUCUAACAAGCCACUGUUUCACGAUGGGAAGGCAGAGGAUGUGAUGAUCCAUGAGUCAGGAGACCUACCUGUAUUGUUUUCCAUAC
rnacentral:ncRNA from 1 species